UCUAGGAAUGCCCCUUCCCUGUUACUAUAUUUGGAGGUAGCUUCUAGGAAAAAAAUAAUUUUCAGACGGUCUUGGACUCACCACACCUACUAUACAAGGACCCACUUCACCUAAGAUUCUCUGACAAGGACCCUAAAGGAGUUUAGAAGCCAAAUGACUGGGAUCAUCAACUCCAGUGACAGAGCUGCAUGUCUUUGUAACAGUGUUGCAGAAAUGAGCAUGGAGAGGGAAUAGGAAAGGGGAGAGAGGUGUCUUUGUGGCAACAAUGAGUGAAUCUUCUCUAGUUAUCUCCUGGUUGCUGGGUUUUUUCCCCUGCACUUUCUUUUGCAGUUGAAAGGAAGAUGAUUGUUUGAAAAUUAUUAAUAAGUGCUCAUUUUUUUCCCUUCUCUUUUUCACUCUCCCUCCCACCCCCCUUGAUGUGGCCUCUUGUUUAGCUUGUGGCGUGACCAUGAUGAAGAAAUUUUUCUGGGAGCCUGGCAGUGUGAUCUUUUUAUGUAAUGAGUCAGGAUUUUGCCAGGGGAAGGAGCAGGGUUUGAGGAUUGAGUGUUUGUCUCCUUUCAAGAAGAAAACUGACAGGCGAGAUGCACCUUUUUCCCAGGAUCCUUUUUUCCCCCUCCCCACUUCACAGGAAUGACAAGUGUGGUAGACUGCAAAGAUCUCACCAUUCCUUUUUCAGGGGAACAAUAACUCCAGAGCCAUUUACUUACGGAAUAUGUUUUUGCUAAGAAGGAAAUUGAUGAUCAGGCUCAAGUUGUAACACAAACCAUCGCCUUGGCAGUCAUGUUUUCCAAGAAAGUCAGGUAAGGGCACAGAUAACAUGAUCAUCUUGUCUGGCCUCUUGAAUAUCACAGACUUCCCUGAAUUAAUUCCUGUUUGAAUGAGAGCAUAUAUUUUAUCUUGAUAUAAAAAUUGCCAGUGAUGGAGAA